rnacentral:rRNA from 1 species
GAUGAACGCUGGCGGCGUGCCUAAUACAUGCAAGUCGAGCGAACGGACGAGAAGCUUGCUUUUCUGAUGUUAGCGGCGGACGGGUGAGUAACACGUGGAUAACCUACCUAUAAGACUGGGCUAACUUAGGGAACCCGGAGCUAAUACCGGAUAAUAUUUUGAACCGCAUGGUUCAAACGUGAAAGACGGUCUUGCUGUCACUUAUAGAUGGAUCCGCGCUGCAUUAGCUAGUUGGUAAGGUAACGGCUUACCACGGCAACGAUGCCUAGCCGACCUGGGAGGGUGAUCGGCCACACAGGAACUGGGACACGGUCCAGACUCCGACGGGAGGCAGCAGUAGGGAUUCUUCCUCAUGGGGCGAAAGCCUGACGGAGCAACGCCGCGUGAGUGAUGAAGGUCUUCGGAUCGUAAAACUCUGUUAUUAGGGAAGAACAUAUGUGUAAGUAACUGUGCACAUCGUGACGGUACCUAAUCAGAAAGCCACGGCUAACUACGUG